rnacentral:lncRNA from 1 species
CUCUCGGUCCAGCCGUCCUUGCCGCUAUCCGUUGUCGUUCUUCUUUUUCUUUCGUCGUGGUCACCGUUCCGACCGUCGGCCACCCGAGGGCACCUCUCCCCCAACAACCCUCCGCGAUACGAAACGGAGCGGAGCGCAACGGCGCGCUUCCGGUGCACAUCGAUGGCUACUUCCGUUCACGCUCGAAGAGCUCGUCGACGCUACACCGGCCACACGGAAGGGUCGUUUCUCGCGGUCUCCGGGUGGAGAGUACGCCCCAACGUGCUCGCCGUAAACGCGGGGGUAAUCGCGCGCUGCUGGACUCACGCUCGCGCGCGUUCGCCUGCCCGUUAACCCUUCUCCGGCGGGAACAGCAUUCUUGUCGGAUGAACGGAUUUUAAUUGCACGGCUGGCUUAUAGGAGCGAUUAGGAUAACCGAUACUCGAUCCCUCGACUUCGUGCAAUCCGAAUCGGGAACGACGUCCCGAGGCAUAUUUUAAGGAUCUUCACUGGAGCAACAAAAUGAUAUUUUGAGGAUUUUCAGCGAACGACGAGAGUAUAUUUUCGAUUUUUCAGCAAAAAGAUUCCUGUACCUGCGAGAUGAAGUUUGAAAAGUGCAGACAGGCCAAGGAAUAACGCGGAAGUAAUCUGCUUUGAAGGCGACGACGAAAAUGUUUAUCGUAUUCCACCACUGAUCGCUAUGACGCGCACAAAUAAUAAAUCUUAUCGACUCGUCGGGAUAUCACGAAUAAAUCUUGGAACUCGAUUUCCUCCUGAGGGACAACAUCGUGCUGGUUAUCGCGCGGCAUUUCCAUGCAGAGUAACGUGAGCGAUCUCUACCAUUUCCCAUUUUCGCGUGCUAUCAUCGAAGGGCUAUAGGUUGAAAUCAUGUCUGAAUCGAUAAAGCUUAUGACAGUUGCUAAAAUAAAGGUAUUAAAUUAUUUUAGAAAUAUUUGUGAUGUACGUGAGAUGUCAAAAAUAAAAAAAGGGGAAUUUAUAGAAGCUGUCUCCGAAACAUGUUUAGCUUGGACGUUAAUAUGAUCUUGCUGCAGCUAACUAAAAAUUUUUAUUUCAUCUAGUAUGCAAAUAAACGUACUCGUCUGAGGGAAAAUAGAAAACCUAUGUUCACGGUUGGUUCCUCUGCUAUAGAGCGUUGUUGCAGCAUCCGUUACGCGGUUUUUAAUACUGGGACAUCAUAUGGGAGAAAUUAGCUCAUUUGUCGCAUCUUUCUCCGACUAAAGCCGGGACAACGGAGAAGCGAUAAUUUCUAUUGACAUAAUGCCAAUAAUAAUGUCGAUACAAGGAAAUCACAUGGAGCAACAUGAUAAAACAGAUGGCGGACCGAAGGAGGAAUCGACGUAUACCGAAACGCGAGUCGAAGGGGUGACUGAAGUGACGAUAAAUAAUGCAGCAGCUUUGCUUCCUGCUUUAGUUAUUAAGUGAACUAUUCAUGCAUCCUGAAUGCUUCACCGGAACAGCUAUACCUACCAUGUUUCCAUGUGUAUCGCGCACUAUCUCAACACAAUAAAUGAAAGAAAAUUAUAUGC